rnacentral:rRNA from 2 species
UAGGGAAUCUUCGGCAAUGGGGGGAACCCUGACCGAGCAACGCCGCGUGAGUGAAGAAGGUUUUCGGAUCGUAAAGCUCUGUUGUUAAGGAAGAACGAGUGUGAGAAUGGAAAGUUCAUGCUGUGACGGUACUUAACCAGAAAGGGACGGCUAACUACGUGCCAGCAGCCGCGGUAAUACGUAGGUCCCGAGCGUUGUCCGGAUUUAUUGGGCGUAAAGCGAGCGCAGGCGGUUAGAAAAGUCUGAAGUGAAAGGCAGUGGCUCAACCAUUGUAGGCUUUGGAAACUGUUUAGCUUGAGUGCAGAAGGGGAGAGUGGAAUUCCAUGUGUAGCGGUGAAAUGCGUAGAUAUAUGGAGGAACACCGGUGGCGAAAGCGGCUCUCUGGUCUGUAACUGACGCUGAGGCUCGAAAGCGUGGGGAGCGAACAGG